rnacentral:rRNA from 1 species
AUUGAACGCUGGCGGCAUGCCUUACACAUGCAAGUCGAACGGCAGCACGGAGCUUGCUCUGGUGGCGAGUGGCGAACGGGUGAGUAAUAUAUCGGAACGUACCCUAGAGUGGGGGAUAACGUAGCGAAAGUUACGCUAAUACCGCAUACGAUCUAAGGAUGAAAGUGGGGGAUCGCAAGACCUCAUGCUCGUGGAGCGGCCGAUAUCUGAUUAGCUAGUUGGUAGGGUAAAAGCCUACCAAGGCAUCGAUCAGUAGCUGGUCUGAGAGGACGACCAGCCACACUGGAACUGAGACACGGUCCAGACUCCUACGGGAGGCAGCAGUGGGGAAUUUUGGACAAUGGGCGAAAGCCUGAUCCAGCAAUGCCGCGUGAGUGAAGAAGGCCUUCGGGUUGUAAAGCUCUUUUGUCAGGGAAGAAACGGUGGGAGCUAAUAUCUCUUGCUAAUGACGGUACCUGAAGAAUAAGCACCGGCUAACUACGUGCCAGCAGCCGCGGUAAUACGUAGGGUGCAAGCGUUAAUCGGAAUUACUGGGCGUAAAGCGUGCGCAGGCGGUUUUGUAAGUCUGAUGUGAAAUCCCCGGGCUCAACCUGGGAAUUGCAUUGGAGACUGCAAGGCUAGAAUCUGGCAGAGGGGGGUAGAAUUCCACGUGUAGCAGUGAAAUGCGUAGAUAUGUGGAGGAACACCGAUGGCGAAGGCAGCCCCCUGGGUCAAGAUUGACGCUCAUGCACGAAAGCGUGGGGAGCAAACAGGAUUAGAUACCCUGGUAGUCCACGCCCUAAACGAUGUCUACUAGUUGUCGGGUCUUAAUUGACUUGGUAACGCAGCUAACGCGUGAAGUAGACCGCCUGGGGAGUACGGUCGCAAGAUUAAAACUCAAAGGAAUUGACGGGGACCCGCACAAGCGGUGGAUGAUGUGGAUUAAUUCGAUGCAACGCGAAAAACCUUACCUACCCUUGACAUGGCUGGAAUCCUUGAGAGAUCAGGGAGUGCUCGAAAGAGAACCAGUACACAGGUGCUGCAUGGCUGUCGUCAGCUAAAAUCGUGAGAUGUUGGGUUAAGUCCCGCAACGAGCGCAACCCUUGUCAUUAGUUGCUACGAAAGGGCACUCUAAUGAGACUGCCGGUGACAAACCGGAGGAAGGUGGGGAUGACGUCAAGUCCUCAUGGCCCUUAUGGGUAGGGCUUCACACGUCAUACAAUGGUACAUACAGAGCGCCGCCAACCCGCGAGGGGGAGCUAAUCGCAGAAAGUGUAUCGUAGUCCGGAUUGUAGUCUGCAACUCGACUGCAUGAAGUUGGAAUCGCUAGUAAUCGCGGAUCAGCAUGUCGCGGCGCAUACAAGCCCGGGUCU